rnacentral:tRNA from 1 species
GGAGAGUUGGCCGAGCGGUUCAUGGCGCUAGUUUUGAAAACUAGUGGGCGUAAGCCCUCAGGGGUUCGAAUCCCUUACUCUCCG